rnacentral:rRNA from 1 species
AUUGAACGCUGGCGGAAUGCUUUACACAUGCAAGUCGAACGGUAGAGGGGCAACCCUUGAGAGUGGCGAACGGGUGAGUAAUGUAUCGGAACAUGCCCAGUCGUGGGGGAUAACGUAGCGAAAGUUACGCUCAUACCGCAUACGAUCCAUGGAUGAAAGCGGGGGGUCGCAAGACCUCGCGCGAUUCGAGUGGCCGAUAUCAGAUUAGGUAGUCGGUGGGGUAAAGGCCUACCAAGCCGACGAUCUGUAGCUGGUCUGAGAGGACGACCAGCCACACUGGGACUGAGACACGGCCCAGACUCCUACGGGAGGCAGCAGUGGGGAAUUUUGGACAAUGGGCGAAAGCCUGAUCCAGCCAUUCCGCGUGCAGGAAGAAGGCCUUCGGGUUGUAAACUGCUUUUGUACGGAACGAAACGCGCUGUGCUAAUACCACGGCGUAAUGACGGUACCGUAAGAAUAAGCACCGGCUAACUACGUGCCAGCAGCCGCCGUAAUAC